GUUGGGUAUGGUGGCGCAUGCCUGUAAUCCCAAUGGCUCUGGAGGCUGAGACAGGAGGAUCAUGAGUUCAAAGCCUCAGCAAAAGUGAGGUGCUAAGCAACUCAGUGAGACCCUUUCUCUA
rnacentral:sRNA from 1 species